CUGCUGAGCCAAACCUGAUCCAUCAGUGCUGGACUGCACAGAUAACUACAUGCCACACAGAGACUGCUGUGUUAUGAACUGCCAUACCAGUAUGUCUUCAAUGGAGAAGAUGACACACCCAUCACCUGACCUCCUGCCUGAUCUGGAGACCAUCAUCCAUGCUGCCACACUACAACCUCUGAGACCAUCAAUGAUGACUCCUACUGAGGAAACUGUAUUUCCUGUCAGAGAUGCUCAGUGAUCCUCAGAGCAGAGAGAGGUAUGAUUCUUUAUCUUUGAUAAAAAAUGUCAGUGUUUUUAAUUCAAUUAAUUAAUUAAAAUCCUGUUUAGUGCAUAAAUAAUUCCACACUCAAAUGAUUAUACUUGUUGACACUUUUUGAGUUUUAAUUGACAUUAUGGAUUACAAAUCUAUGCUUUUUCUACUCUGUCUCUCUGUGCAGGUAUUGCUGUCUUCUGAGUUCUUCAGUGUCCCAACUGGGACAUUCAAACCUCAUUGCAGAGCUCAUGUCUUUCCUCACCAUCAUGUGAGUGUGAGAUUGCUCUGGAUUCUGGUUAUGUGGCCUGCAGCACCUAUAAGAACAAGCUCGUCCAGUGUGCCUGCAUUCCAGCUUCUUAGACUCUACUCAAGUGGACAGAGUAUCAGUGUUUGGCCACUCUUACAGACACCAACUUCUGUCAACUCACUGCUACUGAUCAGGCACCUCACUCCAGGAAGACAGAGGGCUGCAAGCCUGUCAUCGUUUCCAGUGUGGCUUUGUAUUCUUGGGGUAGCAUCAGAUUUUUCCCACAAAUAUUCAAAGAUUUAUGUGCAGUGAUCGGAUGUGGUGGAGCUUUGUUAACUGUGUGGAAAACAUCUGUUUGUGAUGAUAUUUACAAUGAGGCUUUAAGGUGACAGUUUCCAUGUAAUUUCAAUCCUUUUACUAAGCAAAAACAUGUUUGCAAUUAACAUAUUUUUUUCAGUUUUGUCUUUUGGAUUUAUGGUUAACAUUCCUCUGUGACAGCAAAUACUAAACUGGUCCAAGUAACCAGCAUAUCAUUGGUCAAAGGCAAAAAGGACCACAUGUCACACUAGCAAUGAAUUAUUGACUGUGUUUGUGUCACCAGAUUUAACAAACAAUAUCAGACAUAUGAAACUGAACUCUGGAUUAAUGUGCAGAUUUUUUUUGUGUUUUUUUUAUUGUUGAAUAAUUAUUUUGUAGAACAAACCCAAUCUAUUUACCCAAACAAUGUAACUUGUUUGGGUAAAUAGUGGAUUAAUAUAUCUAAGUCUAUAAGUAUAGCAAGCUGAAUUCAUACAGACACACAGCUCUAAAUCCUGGAUUGUAGGAUGUACAAAAAUGAUCAUGUGAUUAUUAUGGACAUUUAAAUAACUAUAUCUAUUGAACCAUUACAUGUAUUCUUUUUAGAAAUUACACAAUCUCAAAAUGUGAAAAAAGAAAGUGUUUAAGAGAAUAAAUAAUGUGUGUUUGUAUGAAUCCUGCCUUAGUAUGGGGUGUCAGUAACUACAUUAGUAUAGAGUAGGUCUAACAGUGGUUUUCCACAUCUGCUCUAAUACAGCGGUCCCCAACCUUUUUUGCGCCAUGGACCGGUUUAUGCCCGACAAUAUUUUCAUGGACCGGCCUUUAAGGUGUCGCGGAUAAAUACAACAAAA